rnacentral:rRNA from 1 species
UACGGGGGGGGCAAGCGUUGUUCGGAAUUACUGGGCGUAAAGGGCUCGUAGGCGGGCUGCCAAGUCUGGGGUGAAAUCCCACGGCUCAACCGUGGAACUGCCUCGGAUACUGGCGGUCUCGAGGGAGGUAGGGGCAUGCGGAACUGUGGGUGGAGCGGUGAAAUGCGUUGAUAUCCACAGGAACUCCGGUGGCGAAAGCGGCGUGCUGGACCUCUUCUGACGCUGAGGCGCGAAAGCUAGGGGAGCAAACGGG